UUAAUAAAUAUAAUCUAUGACACAUCUAACCUCAUCUAAUCUACAGCAGGUCUAACCUAAUCUCUUCUCUCUCUAGGGCUUCUGCUCCUGGUUAACAGCCAUCUUCCGCAUAAAGGAUGAGGAGAUCAGGGAGAAGUGUGGGGAGGAUGCUGUGCACUACCUCUCCUUCCAGAGGCACAUCAUUGGUCUGCUGGUGGUGGUGGGCGUGCUCUCAGUGGCCAUCGUGCUGCCCGUCAACUUCUCAGGAAAUCUAUUGGAGAAUGAUGCCUACAGUUUUGGACGCACCACUUUAGCCAAUCUGGAUGCCAAG